rnacentral:rRNA from 1 species
UAACACGUAGGAUCCGAGCGUUAUCCGAAUUUACUGGGCGUAAAGCGCGUGUAGGCGGUCGGGUAAGUUGGACGUGAAAGCUCCUGGCUCAACUAGGAGAGGUCGUUCAAAACUGCCUGGCUAGAGGGCGACAGAGGGAGGUGGAAUUCCCGGUGUAGUGGUGAAAUGCGUAGAUAUCGGGAGGAACACCAGUGGCGAAGGCGGCCUCCUGGGUCGCACCUGACGCUCAGACGCGAAAGCUAGGGUAGCAAACGGGAUUAGAUACCCCGGUAGUCCUAGCUGUAAACGAUGUGGACUUGGCGUUGGUGGGGUUAAAUCCAUCAGUGCCGUAGCUAACGCGAUAAGUCCACCGCCUGGGGACUACGGUCGCAAGAUUA